rnacentral:rRNA from 1 species
UACGGGGGUGCGAGCGUUGUUCGGAAUCACUGGGCGUAAAGGGCGUGUAGGCGGUCCGCUAAGUCUGAUGUGAAAGCCCGAGGCUUACCCUCGGAAGUGCAUUGGAGACUGGCGGACUGGAGUCCCGGAGAGGAGGUGGAAUUCCUGGUGUAGCGGUGAAAUGCGUAGAUAUCAGGAGGAACACCGGUGGCGAAGGCGGCCCUCUGGACGGUGACUGACGCUGAGACGCGAAAGCGUGGGGAGCAAACAGG